GUUAUCUUUCUUGCUGAAGCAGAAGACGCAGUGAAAACGAAAAUGGAUGCCGAAGCAGCAUGGUCAGAAAGAGAGCUUAUUUUAGGGAUAUUUGAAGGUGGUGACUGAAGUCUGGUCAGUCGACAGGCAGCAGUACUCAAUUUACUGCAUUCCAGCUGCAAUCCAACUGCUGAAGUUGCGGGUAUUCAGAAUCGGCCUUCAAACAGUUGAUGAAGCCCGCCCUGGUAGAUGGAAUCUGCUGCUUGACCAGCAGCACUGUCCAGAGACAGAGUGGUUGAUGCUGGAUAGAAGACUUUUCCUCAGCCAUUAUUACCUGCUAGUAGAGGCUGAACACUUUAAUUAAUAUAUCUGUGGUUUUGCUGAGAUGUAGCAAUCCUGGGAAUUUUCCAAAGAAGAUUCAAGAGAACUUUCUGGACCUCAAGAGAUGUUGACACUCUGCUGAUGAAGCAGAAGCAGAAAGCAGUUCUCUUACCAUCAGAUCUGAUCCGUUUUUGGAGAUAGCCUUUUGUAUGGAGCUGGUAAUUUUGUUUUCCUUUUUAGCUCACUUGAAAUCUAAUCUCAUGUGAAAUUUUCUGAUCUCCCGUUGUCUGUGGUCCAUCCGUCCUUCUUAUGUAAACUUUACACACUUUUAAGAUCCCCGAAAAAUUUAAGGAGCAUAAAUAUAGUCUCUGUCGUGUCUGUUCCACCUCAUAUCUCCUAAACUUUUCAUCAGAAAUUGAUCAAAUUGAUCACAAAUAUUCAGGUAAAGACUUGUGGAUCAAAGUCUCUCAAGGUCAUUGUGGAAAGGCCAAGGUCACUCAGAAAAUGAAAGUGCCUUAUUUCAACAGUAAUUGAUCAGCAAUAGUUCUUGGGACAGGGGACUUUUGGUUCAAGGUCAUUUUUGCAGAGUUUCCGUAAACCAUCGGUCCUACCAGCAAAUCCGAUAGAAAAUCGAAAUGUCUGAUAAAACUUGCUAUACUAUCGGUCCGCAUGACCGAUUAUUGUUUCCUUAACAAUCCGGAAUUUUUCUUUGUAUCCGGAGAGUUUUUUCUUUUCAUCAUAAUCUCAAAAACGCAUUGGAGAGUGCAAAAUUUCAUUUUCAUUUAAGCGCUUACUUUACUCUGAUAUAUUGCCAUGUGGCCGAUAAAGUUUGUACCAGGUUUAAAGCCUGGUAUUAAACGAAAAGCCCCCUUGGUACAGAAUGGUGUGACUGAGGAAAAAAGUACGAAGAAACUCGUAUCCGUGAGUUUAAUAGUUUAAAAUAGAGUGGCAGAAAGGAAGGGAAUGGCUCAAACAUGGAGAAAAUGGCAUGACGUGCUCCAUUUGUAUUGAGGUAGGGCAAACAAGACACUUUCCCAAAUCCACCUUCACUUCUUGAUCAAAAAAUUAUAGAUUUUCAACCAUCUCCGAUCAUGAGACAUCUUUGAAUAUUUUGCACUUUUUUAUUUUUAAAACACUUAACAGAACAUAUACUACAUUGAACAAUAAUUUGUUAAAGUGAAAAUUAUAUAGGAAUUUAUUUGGACUGAUAGAAUUUGCUUCGGAUUGGUAGAACACAUUAUGUUAUCAGUCCGAAUGACUGACAGAAAUAUUUGGUUUUCGGAAACUCUGUUUUUGAAAAGUCAAGGACACUCAGAACAUGUACUUUAUAGAAGGAACAAAA